rnacentral:miRNA from 9 species
ACGUUGGCCGUACGAACAGGGG